CAACUUUCAACAACGGAUCUCUUGGCUCUCGCAUCGAUGAAGAACGCAGCGAAAUGCGAUACGUAAUGUGAAUUGCAGAAUUCAGUGAAUCAUUGAAUCUUUGAACGCACCUUGCGCCCCUUGGCAUUCCGAGGGGCACACCCGUUUGAGUGUCGUG
rnacentral:rRNA from 1 species